GACGAACGCUGGCGGCGUGCUUAACACAUGCAAGUCGAACGGAAAGGCCCUGCUUUUGUGGGGUGCUCGAGGGGCGAACGGGUGAGUAACACGUGAGUAACCUGCCCUUGACUUUGGGAUAACUUCAGGAAACUGGGGCUAAUACCGGAUAGGAGCUCCUGCUGCAUGGUGGGGGUUGGAAAGUUUCGGCGGUUGGGGAUGGACUCGCGGCUUAUCAGCUUGUUGGUGGGGUAGUGGCUUACCAAGGCUUUGACGGGUAGCCGGCCUGAGAGGGUGACCGGCCACAGUGGGACUGAGAUACGGCCCAGACUCCUACGGGAGGCAGCAGUGGCGAAGAGGGCACUAUGGGCGGAAGCCUGAUGCAGCAACGCCGCGGGCGGGAUGACGGCCUUCGGGUUGGAGACCGCUUGCGCCUGUGACGAAGAGGGAGUGACGGUAAUGGGUAAAGAAGCACCGGCUAACUACGUG
rnacentral:rRNA from 1 species